GGGAGUUUUGCCCAAGUAAAGAAACGAGCUGGGUUGACGGCGGAAAAAAAGUUAAUUGUUAAAAAAGCGGCUGGCCCUGAGCCCUGAGCCCUGGUCCCCGCGGCGAGCCGGGGGCGGCCGCAGGAGCCUCCCCCCGGAGAAGCGUCAGGCACCGCGCCGCUCGGGCAGGGGGGGCAAAACUGCUGUUUGUGUACAUGCGCAGAGAGAGAAGGGGUGGAUUUUUUUUCUUCUUUUUUUUUUUUUUUUUCUAAAGAUGGUUUAACUAGCUGUUUGUUUAAAGAGUCGUGAAAGCAAAGCUAGGUUGUAAAAAAAGAAAAAAAAAAAAAGCACAACCCAAGCAACCAACCCACCUAAUCAGAGCCUGCCAUCAAUGCCUACAGCCUGCAGGUCUUUUUGCUUUACAGCAGUUGAGGGAAUUUUGCAGCAACAGCCAUUGAACCCUGCUGAAAUUCCUAUGACACCCUCUGAACUUUCCAGAAGGGCCAUCCUGACUUCUACCAGCCCAUCCCUCGGAGGGGAAGGAAGCAUCACUCCAGGAAGGCAUCACCCCAGCUCCUUUCCAACACAAAAUCCGGACCAGCAGACUGUGAGGUUUCCCACCACCUGCCUUGACCCUCACAAUUGCCAAGUCCUGCCCAAAACUGCUCAACGGAAGACCAGAGCCAGGGUUUCUCUUGCUUUGGCACCAUGGAGGAAAGUGGAUGAGGGCGACUGACACCGCAGAGGGACCCGAGUGCCCCAGGACGAGCCCCGUGCUUGGUUUUCUUGAGCCGCAGCAGACUCGCACCUCGCGCCGCAGCUGCGCUGGAAGCAGCAAGGAAUUCGUGGGGCGGCUUUGCUCCUCGACACAUCAACAGCUUCGGGAUGAUGAAACCGUGUCAUCUGCAUCUGUACUUUUUCUUUCAGAGUUCUGGCAGUUUUAUGGGGGGACCAGGAAGAAAAAGUUCUUUUUCAUUCAGGAACUGAGACAUUUCAGCUCAUUUCAGGAGAGGUUUCUGUCUGAUUUUUUUUUUUUUAAAGGCCAUUUUGGAUUGAAAAAAAAAAACACAUGCUGAACAUAAAUUUUGGUUUAGAACUGUGCAUCAGCCCUCCCCAUCCCUCCUGUUCAUCCCUAGAUGUUUUCAUGUUUUCCAGUCCAUCUAUCCAGCCCUUAAUACCCUCUGGGCUGGUAUUAGGAGUGCCAAAAACCAUUGCAAAAGCCGAGCCCUGCAGAAGACAGAGACCAAGCACUCACUGCUGCUCACAGCUUCUGCCUGGCGGUGGAGGAGAGGAAGGAGCAGGUCCCCCCUUUGUUUCUCCCCCCGAAAUUGUGCACUUUUUCCAGGCUCUGCCCAGAGGCAGCAAGGCUGCGGCCAGCAGAGCCGCUCGCGGGUUUUCAGAUCUCAGCCUUGUCCCCGUGCCAAGUUCACAAACAUCGGGGGGGAGGUGGGAAGGGGAUCUUUUGUUUUGCUUUGUUUUGUUUUGACAUAGCUAAAGGUUUUCCUGUAAUCAACCGACUUCUAAGGAAAACAGCAAGUUGAGCACACACUGCGCUAUCUUACCCGCCCGGACUACUCCCACUUGAUGGAGUCAGGAGCUAUCCGGACCGUCACUGAAAUCUGUGACAGCAACAGCUCUCAACUGAAAAUGGGAAUGCAGCAGCAUUCCUGAUUAGGUUCUUAAAUGCCUGUAAUUGGAUCUUUUCUCAGUGAUAUUGGGACUACACGUAAAUUAAAUUACCCGGCUGCAGAAGUGUUUUAA